rnacentral:lncRNA from 1 species
UGAUAUCGAUCUUGGUCUCGUCUUCAAUAUCCCCACUCAUCAGGUCAAGCUAUCUAUGAGGUAAGUCAUGUGCAUGACCUGAUCGGGUAUUGAGGUAAGCCAUCGAUCAUCUUACAAGCUAAGAUUUAUCUCAUCAAGUUAAAUCGGGCAGCUCUAUCUGAUUGCCCAUAAACAUCUUUGAGAUUCAACAAGAUGCUAACAACAUCGUCCAUUCUCAAGUUUUGGAGUUGCAAUCUCGGUGACACAGUGUUCAUGAUAUAUCAUUUCACUAUAGUAUCUAACUUAUGACACCUCUUAUGAGUUUCUCGGUCUUCA